UUAAGCGACUAAGCGUACACGGUGGAUGCCCUGGCAGUCAGAGGCGAUGAAGGACGUGCUAAUCUGCGAAAAGCGUCGGUAAGGUGAUAUGAACCGUUAUAACCGGCGAUGUCCGAAUGGGGAAACCCAGUGCAAUUCGUUGCACUAUCGUUAACUGAAUACAUAGGUUAACGAGGCGAACCGGGGGAACUGAAACAUCUAAGUACCCCGAGGAAAAGAAAUCAACCGAGAUUCCCCCAGUAGCGGCGAGCGAACGGGGAGCAGCCCAGAGUCUGAAUCAGCUUGUGUGUUAGUGGAACGGUCUGGAAAGUCCGACGGUACAGGGUGAUAGUCCCGUACACCAAAAUGCACAGGCUGUGAACUCGAAGAGUAGGGCGGGACACGUGGUAUCCUGUCUGAAUAUGGGGGGACCAUCCUCCAAGGCUAAAUACUCCUGACUGACCGAUAGUGAACCAGUACCGUGAGGGAAAGGCGAAAAGAACCCCGGCGAGGGGAGUGAAAAAGAACCUGAAACCGUGUACGUACAAGCAGUGGGAGCACCUUCGGGUGUGACUGCGUACCUUUUGUAUAAUGGGUCAGCGACUUAUAUUCUGUAGCAAGGUUAACCGUAUAGGGGAGCCGCAGGGAAACCGAGUCUUAACUGGGCGUUAAGUUGCAGGGUAUAGACCCGAAACCCGGUGAUCUAGCCAUGGGCAGGUUGAAGGUUGGGUAACACUAACUGGAGGACCGAACCGACUAAUGUUGAAAAAUUAGCGGAUGACUUGUGGCUGGGGGUGAAAGGCCAAUCAAACCGGGAGAUAGCUGGUUCUCCCCGAAAGCUAUUUAGGUAGCGCCUCGUGAAUUCAUCUUCGGGGGUAGAGCACUGUUUCGGCUAGGGGGUCAUCCCGACUUACCAACCCGAUGCAAACUACGAAUACCGAAGAAUGUUAUCACGGGAGACACACGGCGGGUGCUAACGUCCGUCGUGAAGAGGGAAACAACCCAGACCGCCAGCUAAGGUCCCAAAGUCAUGGUUAAGUGGGAAACGAUGUGGGAAGGCACAGACAGCCAGGAUGUUGGCUUAGAAGCAGCCAUCAUUUAAAGAAAGCGUAAUAGCUCACUGGUCGAGUCGGCCUGCGCGGAAGAUGUAACGGGGCUAAACCAUGCACCGAAGCUGCGGCAGCGACACUAUGUGUUGUUGGGUAGGGGAGCGUUCUGUAAGCCUGCGAAGGUGUGCUGUGAGGCAUGCUGGAGGUAUCAGAAGUGCGAAUGCUGACAUAAGUAACGAUAAAGCGGGUGAAAAGCCCGCUCGCCGGAAGACCAAGGGUUCCUGUCCAACGUUAAUCGGGGCAGGGUGAGUCGACCCCUAAGGCGAGGCCGAAAGGCGUAGUCGAUGGGAAACAGGUUAAUAUUCCUGUACUUGGUGUUACUGCGAAGGGGGGACGGAGAAGGCUAUGUUAGCCGGGCGACGGUUGUCCCGGUUUAAGCAUGUAGGCUGGUUAUCCAGGCAAAUCCGGAUAAUCAAGGCUGAGGUGUGAUGACGAGGCACUACGGUGCUGAAGUAACAAAUGCCCUGCUUCCAGGAAAAGCCUCUAAGCAUCAGGUAACAUCAAAUCGUACCCCAAACCGACACAGGUGGUCAGGUAGAGAAUACCAAGGCGCUUGAGAGAACUCGGGUGAAGGAACUAGGCAAAAUGGUGCCGUAACUUCGGGAGAAGGCACGCUGGUGUGUAGGUGAAGCCCCUGCGGGUGGAGCUGAGACCAGUCGAAGAUACCAGCUGGCUGCAACUGUUUAUUAAAAACACAGCACUGUGCAAACACGAAAGUGGACGUAUACGGUGUGACGCCUGCCCGGUGCCGGAAGGUUAAUUGAUGGGGUUAUCCGUAAGGAGAAGCUCUUGAUCGAAGCCCCGGUAAACGGCGGCCGUAACUAUAACGGUCCUAAGGUAGCGAAAUUCCUUGUCGGGUAAGUUCCGACCUGCACGAAUGGCGUAAUGAUGGCCAGGCUGUCUCCACCCGAGACUCAGUGAAAUUGAACUCGCUGUGAAGAUGCAGUGUACCCGCGGCAAGACGGAAAGACCCCGUGAACCUUUACUAUAGCUUGACACUGAACAUUGAGCCUUGAUGUGUAGGAUAGGUGGGAGGCUUUGAAGCGUGGACGCCAGUCUGCGUGGAGCCAACCUUGAAAUACCACCCUUUAAUGUUUGAUGUUCUAACGUUGGCCCCUGACCGGGGUUGCGGACAGUGUCUGGUGGGUAGUUUGACUGGGGCGGUCUCCUCCCAAAGCGUAACGGAGGAGCACGAAGGUUAGCUAAUCCUGGUCGGACAUCAGGAGGUUAGUGCAAUGGCAUAAGCUAGCUUGACUGCGAGCGUGACGGCGCGAGCAGGUGCGAAAGCAGGUCAUAGUGAUCCGGUGGUUCUGAAUGGAAGGGCCAUCGCUCAACGGAUAAAAGGUACUCCGGGGAUAACAGGCUGAUACCGCCCAAGAGUUCAUAUCGACGGCGGUGUUUGGCACCUCGAUGUCGGCUCAUCACAUCCUGGGGCUGAAGUAGGUCCCAAGGGUAUGGCUGUUCGCCAUUUAAAGUGGUACGCGAGCUGGGUUUAGAACGUCGUGAGACAGUUCGGUCCCUAUCUGCCGUGGGCGCUGGAGAAUUGAGGGGGGCUGCUCCUAGUACGAGAGGACCGGAGUGGACGCAUCACUGGUGUUCGGGUUGUCAUGCCAAUGGCACUGCCCGGUAGCUAAAUGCGGAAGAGAUAAGUGCUGAAAGCAUCUAAGCACGAAACUUGCCCCGAGAUGAGUUCUCCCUGAGACUUUAAGUCUCCUGAAGGAACGUUGAAGACGACGACGUUGAUAGGCCGGGUGUGUAAGCGCAGCGAUGCGUUGAGCUAACCGGUACUAAUGAACCGUGAGGCUUAACCUU
rnacentral:rRNA from 3 species